rnacentral:rRNA from 1 species
AGCAGCCGCGGUAAUUCCAGCUCCAAUAGCGUAUAUUAAAGUUGUUGCAGUUAAAAAGCUCGUAGUUGAAUUUCGGGGUUCUUCCGUUGGUCGGGCUAUCCAGUCUGUACUAGCGUGUAGAAUUCCUACCUUCUGGGGAACCAUCAUGUUAUUAAUUUAGCGUGGUGGGAAACCAGGACCUUUACCUUGAAAAAAUUAGAGUGUUCAAAGCAGGCUUACGUCUGAAUACAUUAGCAUGGAAUAAUAGAAUAGGACGGUGGUCCUGUUUUGUUGGUUUCUGAAUCGCCGUAAUGAUUAAUAGGGAUAGUUGGGGGCAUUAGUAUUCAAUUGUCAGAGGUGAAAUUCUUGGAUUUAUUGAAGACUAACUUCUGCGAAAGCAUUUGCCAAGGAUGUUUUCAUUAAUCAAGAACGAAAGUUAGGGGAUCGAAGACGAUCAGAUACCGUCGUAGUCUUAACCAUAAACCUAUGCCGACUAGGGAUCGGACGAUGUUAAAUUUAUGACUCGUUCGGCGCCUUACGG